UACGAAGGGGGCUAGCGUUGUUCGGAAUUACUGGGCGUAAAGGGCGCGUAGGCGGCCUACUAAGUCAGACGUGAAAUCCCCCGGCUUAACCUGGGAACUGCGUCUGAUACUGGAAGGCUUGAGGAUGGGAGAGGGAUGUAGAAUUCCAGGUGUAGCGGUGAAAUGCGUAGAUAUCAGGAGGAACACCGGUGGCGAAGGCGGCUUUCUGGACAGAUACCGACGCUGAGGCACGAAAGCUAGGGGAGCAAACAGG
rnacentral:rRNA from 1 species